rnacentral:rRNA from 1 species
GACGAACGCUGGCGGCGUGCUUAACACAUGCAAGUCGAGCGGUAAGGCCCUUUCGGGGGUACACGAGCGGCGAACGGGUGAGUAACACGUGGGUGACCUGCCCUUAGCUCUGGGAUAAGCCUGGGAAACUGGGUCUAAUACCGGAUAUGACUCCAUGACGCAUGUUGUGGGGUGGAAAGCCUUGUGCGGCUGGGGAUGGGCCCGCGGCCUAUCAGCUUGUUGGUGGGGUGAUGGCCUACCAAGGCGACGACGGGUAGCCGGCCUGAGAGGGCGACCGGCCACACUGGGACUGAGACACGGCCCAGGCUCCUACGGGAGGCAGCAGUGGGGAAUCUUGCGCAAUGGGCGAAAGCCUGACGCAGCGACGCCGCGUGAGGGAUGACGGCCU